GGAAAUUCAGGAGUCACUCUGCUCUCUGCUGUACUGGAGAAUCAUCACUGUAACCUUAAGAAACUAGAGUUGAGAUAUUGUGGUGUCACAGAUGAAGGUUGUGCUGCUCUGGCUUCAGCUCUGAGAUCAAACCCCUCACAUCUGAGACAACUGGAUCUAUCUGGAAAUAACCUAGGAGACUCAGUGAUACUGCUUUCUGAUGUACUACAGAAUCCUCUCUGUAAACUUGAAAAACUGUGGUUGUGGAACUGCGGUGUCACAGAUGAAGGUUGUGCUGCUCUGGCUUCAGCUCUGAAAUCGAACCCCUCGCACCUGACAGAGCUGGAUCUGUCUAAUAAUAAACUACGUGACUCAGAUAUGCAGCUUCUCUGUGAUGCAC